UGGGGAAUUUUGGACAAUGGGGGAAACCCUGAUCCAGCCAUCCCGCGUGUGCGAUGAAGGCCUUCGGGUUGUAAAGCACUUUUGGCAGGAAAGAAACGUCGCGGGUUAAUACCCCGCGAAACUGACGGUACCUGCAGAAUAAGCACCGGCUAACUACGUGCCAGCAGCCGCGGUAAUACGUAGGGUGCAAGCGUUAAUCGGAAUUACUGAGCGUAAAGCGUGCGCAGGCGGUUCGGAAAGAAAGAUGUGAAGUCCCAGAGCUUAACUUUGGAACUGCAUUUUUAACUACCGGGCUAGAGUGUGUCAGAGGGAGGUGGAAUUCCGCGUGUAGCAGUGAAAUGCGUAGAUAUGCGGAGGAACACCGAUGGCGAAGGCAGCCUCCUGGGAUAACACUGACGCUCAUGCACGAAAGCGUGGGGAGCAAACAGGAUUAGAUACCCUGGUAGUCCACGCCCUAAACGAUGUCAACUAGCUGUUGGGGGCCUUCGGGCCUUGGUAGCGCAGCUAACGCGUGAAGUUGACCGCCUGGGGGAGUACGGUCGCAAGAUUAAAAACUCAAAUGAAUUGAC
rnacentral:rRNA from 1 species